rnacentral:misc_RNA from 1 species
CCCUAGCCCAGAGAGCAGUGGAAAGCCACGCAAAAUAAAACAACUCUUUUUAUCAGUUUUAAAAAGCGACCAAAGGAAGCUCUUUUAAAACUUUAUAAAAAUGUUGCUUUUAUGAAGUGCUUGAAACGAAUCGCUGGAUUAGCU